UCGAGAAGGAGGCACUGCUGGGCUGAGCUGGCGUCUCUGAGCUGGAGAGGGGCCCACAGGGACCUGGUGUCUCCUGGGAGUGGGGAGCGUGAGGAGGCUCAGGAGGUGAAGUAUUCAGUUCAUCCUCCUGAAGAAAACACCUGCCUGCGGAGAGCCAGUUGCCCUCUCCUCUGUGUAAGGAUAGGAAGAGAACACAUGCCUGUAUAUCUGGACAGCAGCACAGCGGAAAGAACAGGCCAUACGGGAAACAAAGAGGCAAUAAUAAUGAUAAGGAGUCAAUGAUAAAAGUUGCUCAGUGCCCCCAAAGUCCUCCGAAAAUGGCAGUGACGUGAUGGAGAUUAUUUAAUCCGACCUGCUUCAUGUUGCAAAUACGGAGACCGAGACACUGGAGGAAAAUGACUUGCUGAAGACAGAGCCAGCCCAAGGCAAAGCUGGGGUAGGAAGUCUCUGACAUUUACACCUGCUGUUCUCAAAGUAGGGUCCAUAGACUCCUGAGACCCCAGCAACACUCAGGAACGGUUCAUGAAGUUAUGAAGGUCUCCGUUUGAUCGUUUUUCCUUUGACCCCCUGUUGACAUUUGACAGAAGGUACGAAAGCAAUGGUGGGUAAAACUCCUGGCUUCUGGGCAUGAAUCAAGGCAGGCGCCAAGGCAUAUUAGACAUCAUUGCCUCGCACUUGCAAUAAAAAACAACGCCAGUUUCAUUUAAGAAUACUCUUGAUGAAGCAGUAAAAAUGAUUAGUCUUAUUAAAUACCGACACUUUUCAAAUAGUCUGUGUAACAAAAUGCAGAGCGUGCAUAAAUACUUUCACUGCGUUCCAAGGUAUGAUGGUUAUCCCUAGGAAAUGUACGCAGGCAAUAAACCUGGGAGUCAAGCCAUUUUUUUCAUGAAGCAUCUUUCUUCUCCUCUUUUUUUUUCCUUCCUUCCUCCCUCUCUCUCGCUCCCUUUCUUUCUCUCUCUUUCUCCUUUUCUUUUCUUUCUUUCUCUCUUUCCUUCUCUUCAAAGACUAAAUGACAAAGAAUGCUUUUUCAGACGGGGUAUUCAACAGACACUGUUUCUAAAUGAACAAAAGGAGUUUGUCCCUUUGAGGAAAACAACUGAUAGUAUUUGUUGCCAGUGAUAAAAUUUGAACUUGCAAGGGAAAAUGAGAAUUUUGGAAAACUUGUAUCUGUUACUGUGGAACUUGAUAGCUUCCUAAUAUUUAUGGACUUUUCUAAUGAGAUGGAUGGUGAUAUUAAUGAAUGUGAUUUUUAAAAAAUAUUGUAUAAUGAAAUGUGUGAAAAUCUGGAAUAUCUGUAUAACUCAAUAAACCAGCUUUUUCCAAUGA